rnacentral:lncRNA from 1 species
UACUGCUGUAGUCUGAGCUGGAGAUAAUUCUUGCCUGAAGUCAUCUGGAUGGAGAAAACACGUUUGCACCAGGUAUCAGUUUAUGGGAUGGAAAUGUAAGAUCUGCACUUUUCAGGCAUCAUCCAUAAACUAUCUACCAGACUAGCCUUCAGGUAAAAGCAGUGAUCACCAGGAACAACUGUCUGAGGUUAAGAAGAAGCUCAGCAUUUGUGUUUAGAAGACAUGACAUCAUCAGUCUUCAGAUGAGCAUCCAGGAGAUGGUGGAGAGGUGGUCUUCCUUGUUUGAUGUGUCUGAGGUCAAUGCAGAGUUCCAGCAGAUCACCACAGUAAAUGUUGAGGCCAAAUUCAUUUCAACUGCUGUCCAUCUUCCAAGCUAAGAAAAGUGCUGCUGGAGCCUGACACCGUGCACGAACUGAUGCUGUUCUCCAGAGUGGAGUUGCUGUUGAGAAAACCAGAGAAUUCUUCAUCCGAUGUCCCAUUGAUCACCCUGGGAAAGAUGAUAAUGCUUUAAUCAAGGAGUUAAAGGCAAGUGCAGUUAAUGACUUUGUGGGUUCUCCCUACAAUGUAUCUGUUAGUAUGUCAUUAAUUCCUCUACUUAUAUAUGCUAUUUU